AGCCCGCGGCCUAUCAGCUUGUUGGUGGGGUAAUGGCCUACCAAGGCGACGACGGGUAGCCGGCCUGAGAGGGCGACCGGCCACACUGGGACUGAGACACGGCCCAGACUCCUACGGGAGGCAGCAGUGGGGAAUAUUGCACAAUGGGCGAAAGCCUGAUGCUGCGACUCCGCAUGAGGGAUGACGGCCUUCGGGUUGUAAACCUCUUUCACCAGGGAAGAAGCUAAAGUGACGGUACCUGCAGCAGAAGCGCCGGCUAACUACGUGCCAGCAGCCGCGGUAAUACGUAGGGCGCAAGCGUUGUCCGGAAUUAUUGGGCGUAAAGAGCUCGUAGGCGGCUUGUCACGUCGGAUGUGAAAGCCCGGGGCUUAACCCCGGGUCUGCAUUCGAUACGGGCUAGCUAGAGUGUGGUAGGGGAGAUCGGAAUUCCUGGUGUAGCGGUGAAAUGCGCAGAUAUCAGGAGGAACACCGGUGGCGAAGGCGGAUCUCUGGGCCAUUACUGACGCUGAUGAGCUAAAACGUGAGGAGCUAACAGGAUUAGAUACCCUGGUAGUCCACGCCGUAAACGUUGGCAACUAGGUGUUGGCGACAUUCCACGUCGUCGGUGCCGCAGCUAACGCAUUAAGUUCCCCGCCUGGAGAGUACGGCCGCAAAGCUAAAACUCAAAGGAAUUGACGGGGACCCGCACAAGCAACGGAGCAUGUGCCUUAAUUCGACGCAACGCGAAGAACCU
rnacentral:rRNA from 1 species